rnacentral:lncRNA from 1 species
CCAAGGUUCCGGCCAGAGAACUUGGCUCACAACACGAAGUUAUUUGACCGAGUGAAUGGAAUUGCACAAAGAAAGGGAUGCACCACAUCGCAGUUAGCCCUCGCCUGGGUACACCACCAGGGUGAUGAUGUUUGCCUGAUUCCCGGCACGACCAAGAUCGAGAAUUUCAACUAGAACAUUGGAGCUCUGUCAGUGAAGCUUACACCGGAAGAGAUGGCCGAGCUUGAAUCGAUUGCUUCUGCAGACAGUGUCAAGGGUGGCAGGUACGAUGGAAGCAUGUCUACAUGGGAAAACUCCGACACUCCACCCCUUUCUUAAUAAAAUUAUGUGUUUUUCUAGUAAGGGAUGUUGCGAAAACUUUAUUGUCUUUUGCAUGCGUAAUUAUAACUAUGAGUGUAACUAUGCGUAAUUACAACAUGUGGCGUCACACAAUCCUCAGCACUUGAAUUGGGGUCUAUCAAGGUAGUGCUUGAGUCUAUGAUGCUCAAGCUCUAUUCAAUAGCACUUAGGCUCGGGUCCGCAAAGAUUGUGCAUCAGUCCUCAAUGCUUGAGGUCGGCUCGUUAGUUAAUAAAACGUUUGUUCUUAUAAAAAUAAUUAUUUUUAAAAAAUCUAUUUUUUUAUAUUAUUUGUUUUCUUUCUUUUUAUUUUCCUUCUUCUCGGCUAGUUGCCAACCAUGGCGCCGAUUGCGCCUGAUAACAAGCACCGGAUGAGCUAGCCCAAGGCCAAGAAGACUUGAGAUUGCUGAUUUGGCAAGCUUGAAGCUGGUCAAGUGCAAGCUCGAGUUUCGCCCCGUGGCUAGUCGCCAACUACCACCGUGGCUAGCGUUCGGUCGAGGAAGAAGAAAAAGAAAAAUAAGUAAAAAUCUGAAUAUUUUGUAAUCUUCUAUAGGGAAAUCAAAUAAGAUUUUUCAUAUUAAACGAUAAAAAAUAUUUUCUAGUUUAUUUUUAAGACUUAACCAAAUAUUGAAAAUGACUUUUUGUAAAAUAUUAUUCAAAUAUGUCAUAUUUUUUGCGAAACAAACGGUACAUAAAUUUAAAUUUGAUAAUUGUCCUUGUUAAUUUGGUACACAUUAUCUGUCUCUUUGUUUUGUUGCUGAACUGAUGCUAAUCUCUAGAUGAAGCUUGACUAGUUUCAAUAGGCGGCUUGACUUUUGCGCUUCCUUUUUUUUAAAACCCAAAACACUCAAAACUUUCGUGAUACACGACUUUCGACAUGCAGAGUUACAAUCACUUCAAAUAAUUUAUCUGAAAAUUGUAUAGUGGGCCAUCCGAGAAAGGUGAGGGCAACUUGUCCCCCUAGAAAUUGUCAUGACGUGGAACUCUUGACAUGAAUUGAAGUGACUUUUGUUAAGAGUUAACUAGUCAAGAUCGGGCCACAUCUGUCCAUUCAUGUCCGCCACAUCCGGCCCCUCCAAUCGGACUCCCCGGCGAAAAGAUUCACGGACACGUGGCUGGAUCUAGAAAGUCACGGGUUUGACUUGUCUUUUGUGUCACUAUCAAGAAUGUGCAUGGUCCGGACGGGCGAUUCCCGACCUAGAAUCGGGAACUGCUUGCUAAGGACCGAUUCCAAAACAUUGAAACGGAGAUCCACCAGUUAGUUGAAUGAAUCCACUUGGGAACCAGAUCGCUGAUUCAGUCCGAUUUCUAGGUGGAUCUAUGGAACCGAUCUUGACGCUAAAUAAUUUUAUUUUCAAUAUAGAACGACUACGUGAUUUCCAUAACAACAGCUGGAGAGGUUGUAGAAGGAUAUCAUGGUAGGCACUUACGAUAAUCGUGAGGAAAUGAUAGCAAUUUUGGUUAAACUUGUUUUCUAUCAUGGCUAUCAUGGGUCGAAUAAAAUUUUGCAAGCAAAUUUCGUGUCCUAGGCAUUUUUUUUCUCUUAGGUGUGAUGCUUUAAAAACCCUCUAUGUGAUGCUUAGGAACCUUUGUUUGUGAUGAAGCCUAAAGAUUUAUUCCUUGUUGUGGACUUGUUGUCCUACAUCAAAAUCUCUCAGUCAAACUUUUUUGCUUUGUUUUGGUAAGUCUGUAUAAGGUAUAUUACAGAAGUUGCAUUACGAGAUAUUUCUUCCUUAUUGUCUUUUUAGUUUAACUAAGGCCAAAUUGUUUUGGCAUUUUUCCAAGCAUUUCAUUAUGGAAUGAUGAUAAGAAGCGAUCUUGACUUAAUGCUUUUAGUUAUUUGAUUUGGAUUUAUUAAUUAGUAAUUUCAUUUUUUAAUAUUAAAAAUUAAUAUAUUAUUUUAAUAUAAUCGGUUCGGUCUAGGUGGGCGGGUAGAUAGAUCCGCUCAUGGAACUGGGAACCAGACUGGUACUCACCGGUUCCCAUAAAUUGGAAUCGAGAACCGGACCGGUUCCCUUAAAAACUACCGGUUCUGGGCGGUCCAAGCGGGUUUCGGUUAUUUUGCACAAAGAAUUAAAAAUUCAAUUUUUUUUAAAAAUAUUUUAAAAAGAAUUAUAAAAAUUUUCAUUAAAUUUGUAUUGCAUAAAAAUGUUUUAACAAUACUUUUUUUUAAAUAAAAAAAUCAUAAAAACGAGCUUUUUAAGGGUUAAUUAUUUUUUUUAUGUUAUUGUUUUUAGUUAUUCAAAGGUAUGUUUACUUCAAAUAAGGGAAGCAUGUGCAUAGUUUAAUUCUUUAUAAAUAUUUAAAUGUUUUUUUAAACUUUUCUUAUUUUAUUUUAUUUUCUAUUUUUAAUUUAAUUUGAAGAUUUAAUCUAAUUAGCAUAUAAUAGAAGUGGAUUUUCCUAAAAUAUUAAGAGGUUUUAGCAAUACGAGUUGGAUCGGGUAUGUGUCGGGUAUAUAUGAAUAUGGAUCAGAAUAAGUUAAAUAGAUCAAAUAUGAGUUCAUUCGUUUUCGACCGGACUCAAAUCCGGCUUGAUCCGGUUUCGACCCAACCCAAAUCCGACUCGAUCCACUCAUUUAACGGGUCUAGAUUGAAUUGACGUAAGCACGUGCGUCUUCGUAGCUACUGCCGCUCCCCUCCUAUAAAUCUCGGCUCGCCCGACAUCUUAGCCAUCGUCACGGUGCAGUGCAGGGAACGAGCGAGCUCGAGCUAGACGACGGCAAUGGCAGCGUCGACGACGACGGUGGGGAGGAUCAAGCUGGGGUCGCAGGGCAUGGAGGUGUCGGCGCAGGGGCUGGGCUGCAUGGGCAUGUCCAUCGGCUACGGCCCUCCCAAGCCCGACCCCGACAUGAUCGCCCUCAUCCACCACGCCGUCGGCUCCGGCGUCACCUUCCUCGACACCUCCGACAUCUACGGCCCCCACACCAACGAAAUCCUCCUCGGAAAGGUCGGUUCUCUCAGUCUCUCUUUUGCCUCCGCAUGAAUCAUACGUGCUUAUAGUGUUACGGAAUUCAGCUUCAUCGAGCAGGAUGCUCCGAUCCUGCGCCUUGGUUUUCUGAUUUCGGGGUUGAUUUUGAGCAGGCACUGAAGGGAGGGGUGAGGCAGAAGGUGGAAUUGGCGACCAAGUUCGGAGUCAGCUUCGCGGACGGGAAGAGGGAGAUCCGGGGCGAUCCGGCGUACGUGAGGGCUGCUUGCGAGGCCAGCUUGAGGCGGCUCCACAUCGAUUGCAUUGACCUCUACUACCAACAUCGCAUCGACACUCGCGUCCCCAUCGAAGUCACUGUAUGGAUCCCACAUCAAACCUUUACCUCUCUCGGGACUUUCUCCGAGUGAUCAGUUGCUAAAUUAGAAUGGUGUUGAUGAUGCAUCAUCAUCAAGAUAUCGUUAAAUGUGACUUGAGUUCAGAUGAUAGCAGAGUUCAAGAUGUGGCACGGUGUUGUUCAAGGGAUUGCGGAAUUUAGUAGUUUAUAUGGCUUGAGUUUUUGUUUUAUGGGUCAACAAGCAUGAAAAUUAUUCGAAAUCCAGGGUUCACCCUGAUUUAUAUCUGAGAAUCACAUUUGAAGUUGUUCCUGGACUUUCUGCGCAGACAUUUGGUUCUUGACUUGUCAUUGUGAAAUAUGACAAGUACUUGGAAUACUUCUUUAAUUUGCCUUCUUCUGUGAUAGAUUAGAGAGAUCCAUUUCCGUUAACGAUACCUUGCCAUUUUCUUGUUGCAUUGAGAUGCAUAAAGAUUGACUAUUUUUUGCUAGGAGCUACCUAAUCAAAUUGUAAUGUUUGAGAAGUCAGGGAACACAAACUAUUCAGGCAUCAGGACACAAGAAAAACUAAUGAUGUUCAAUAACUUCUGGAUCUUAACACGUAAGAUUUUGACGAUUGUUGUUUUGUCAUGUGAAUAUGCACAGGUUGGAGAGCUAAAGAAGCUCGUUGAAGAGGGUAAGAUAAAGUACAUCGGUUUAUCCGAGGCCUCUGCAUCAACAAUCAGAAGAGCACAUGCUGUUCAUCCCAUCACAGCAGUGCAAUUGGAGUGGUCGCUUUGGUCAAGAGAUGUGGAGGCAGAGAUCAUUCCCACGUGCAGGUAGGAUAUCACUGUUUAUUUGUUUAUGCAGUAACAACAUCUUUCUUCUGACUCUGCUCUUCCUUAAAAUGUUGACUAGGGAGCUUGGCAUUGGAAUUGUUGCCUACAGUCCUCUUGGACGAGGAUUCUUUUCUGUUGGCUCCAAGUUGGUGGAGAAUCUCUCUAAGGAUGACUUCAGACAGGUCUGUUUCUGCUGGUUAACAUAAUUAGAUGCUCACAGUUACUGUCAUUCCCAUUGAAGUGCUGGAAACCUGUUCUUAUUCUAUAAAGAAAAAGUUUGUGACACGAAUGCUUCAUAUUCUUAUUCGAUCCAGCACUUGCCAGUCAUCCCACCUCUCGUGAUUCUAGAUAAAUUUAAAAAUCACAAGUAAUGGCUUUAAUGAGCCUGAAAGGGGCAGUUUUCUGGAUUCUCGUGCUUUUGGGAAUGAACAAAUAUAGGUUUAUUUGUAAGUUGCUCCGUUUCCCAGCUUUCCCACCAUUUGCUUAUCACUAUCCUUUCCCCACUUUCCACCCGCCCUUUUUCUCUCAUAUCUCUUCACAAGAUUAGCAAUAUUUGCUCAAAAUAACCGAGACCAGUAUCGGGCCUUGGCCUCCGUCCUUUUUGUUUCUCAUCUUUCUUCACAAGAUAAAUUAUAUCUUGACACAACCAUUUCUUGAGCGAGGACUCCCUAACACCCUUCUUAUGAGAGUGUUGGGAUCAAGUUCCCAUCUGACAUAAAGCCAAUUGUGUAUUACUCCUGGCCAUUAGUGUUUGAGUAGCGAUAGUGCUGGGCAAGUGAAGUAGCUAUUUUUCUUUGUAGCUAAAUGAGCUUUGCGUCUGAUAACAUUCUUCUACACGUCAUCUACCUUUUGUGAUUUUUUUUUCUUAUGUGUGACUAAUGUUACCAUCACACGUACAAAACUUAGAUUGUCUAGUUUGUUUCUGUUUUCACUUCCUACAUCAAACCCAUCAGCCUUGUGUGGUAGUUGCUAGAUCACUUCGCUCGACGUUUCUAGUUCUUAUGAUUUGGGGCUAGGUAUUUUAAUCAUUUCAAGAUAAUCAUAACUGAUCAUGCUUUUCCAGGUACACAACAAUUGUGCACUUCUAAAUGCUUAUUAGGUCAAGUAACAAGGCAAUCUGUUGGCAUGCAAUGCGAUCACUUUUGCACCUUGCUGCUGUAGAAUUUGGCCUUAAAAGGAAAAUGAUAGUUGCUCAUAUGCUUUCUGCUGAGACAUUGCUCUAUGUUAUGCAGAACCAACCAAGGUUCCAGCCAGAGAACUUGGCUCACAACAUGAAGUUAUUUGACCGAGUGAAUGAAAUUGCGCAAAGAAAGGGAUGCACCACAUCGCAGUUAGCCCUUGCCUGGGUACACUACCAGGGUGAUGAUGUUUGCCCGAUUCCCGGCACGACCAAGAUCGAGAAUUUCAACCAGAACAUUGGAGCUCUGUCAGUGAAGCUUACACCGGAAGAGAUGGCUGAGCUCGAAUCAAUUGCUUCUGCAGACAAUGUCAAGGGUGGCAGGUACAAUGGAAACCUCUCUCCAUGGGAAAACUCCGACACUCCACCCCUUUCUUCUUGGAAACCUGCCUAGAAACAUGUCUACUUCUGUUGCUGCGUCUUUGAUAUGCAGAGUUUGUGCAUUUGCCGCUGAAGUAAUUUGAGGCUAUGUUGUGUGGCUGUUAUAAGUACGUGUAAUAAGAGAGUGACUGUUUUCGUUUUGUACAUGUGACAUUCACUAUGAGAAGAUUAUGGAUAUGUUCUAAGCUUACUGGGGAAAGAUCACCCGCUAACACGAGAGCAAGUUUUUUAUGAACCGAGCUUGCCGUGCCGACUUUAUCGGGGUGACUUUUAGAAUAUGAGAAAUUGGGAUUUUGAAGAAUUCAAACUCAGUCAUACAUACUAGAGUGAUGCUUUAUUCUCCUCCAACUAGUCUUGGUCCAGUUUCCAGAGAGAUUAGGUCGAUCCUUGGUCCUAGAAUUUCAGGACUAGCACUGUGCGGGUCGAUUCUUAGUCCUAAGAGUUCUAGGUCGGUCCAAUCCAAACCAACCUUAUAUAUAUAUAUAUAUAUUAUUUAUAAUUUUUUUAUAUAGAGAAAACCUUAAAACAAACGGCGUCAAUAACAUUAAAGAGUUAUUUAGUAAAGAGUUCAAGUAAUUUUACAUUGUUCUUUAAUAUUUUAGAUUUUUAAUGUCUUUUACGAUAUUAAUAGUCAUAAUUUACGAAGGAGGAAAUUGUUUUUGUAAGGAGUCCUCAUGAUAUCUAAAAAGGUAUAAAUGGCAUCAUUCUUUAGUAUUCGUUCUCUUUGGUUUUAUUCGUUCUCUUAAUUAUCAAUUUGCCAAAAUUGAAAGAAGCAAUCGCUCACUUUGGGUCACUCCUGCCGCUCGCCGCUUAAUGCUCGCUUGGCUUGUUGCUCCAUGCUCGAUAUUCGAUAUUUAUUCUGUUCGACGCUCACCCCACUUGACUCUCGUUGCUUGCCUUUUUUAGUUGACCUUGCUCAUCAUCGAAUCCAUUAGGUCAAUAUGGUCCUCAGUUGCUUUUUCAAGGAUUACAAAAAAUGAAAUAAAAAAUUAUUAAUUAGUCCUAAGUUGACCUUGAAACCAGACCGAACCCAUUGGGUCCGUUUGAUCUUCAAUCGCUUUUUUAAGGUGUACAAAAAAUGAAAUAAAAAAUUAUUGGUUGGUCCCGGGUUGACCCUAGAACUGGACCGAACCCAUUGGAUCAGUUCGGUCAUUGGUCCUAAGCUUAAUAGGGUUGGUUCUCGGUCCAAAAAACUGAGGACCAGCAUUGUGUGAGUUGGUCAUAGGGUUAGGGGGUGAACCGGCCCAACCUGGACCAUACUCACUCCUACCUCUAACCAUGAGUUCAAUACUAGCACCAUGUGCAACAUACUCUUAGGACUGGAUGCUACACAUAGAUACAACGCUUCGCUUUGUGUUUGGUUUCGUAGCGAAGUAAAGGAACAGUAAAAUGCUAUUGGAUGUUCUCGCGAAAAUGAAGUUUGGGAUAAAAUGUUGGCGCGGUUGAUAUGAGUGUCGAGGAAAUCGAAGGUUUCUUGUUCAAGUUUAACCACCUACGGUUCAUGAGCUUUUAUGUAGCUCAAUACCUUCGCUCAUGCCUCUGCAUUAUUAUAAAACAGUCGGAGAUAUUGCGCAAGUUUCCUAAAAUUAAAAACAACAAUUCUAUUGUUUUUUAUUUGGAGUUAGAGUGGAGCAAUGUCGUUUUGUUUUGAUUUAGGAAAAUAACGCAAAUAGUCAUUGAACUUUGGUCCAAUGUGUUAUGUUCUUAUUGAACUUUUAAUUUAUUUAGUAUGACUGUCGAACUUUUUAUACAUGUUUAAUUUAGAUCCUAGGCUAGAUAAAUCCAACGAUGCUGUGUUUGGUCGUUCGAACAUCUUUGCUGUAUGGGAUAAUGAAUGGAUGAAAAUCCCAUCUAAUAUUUCUUGACGUCUGGAUAUAGCAUGAUUCAAAAUAAAUCUUUUUUUUUUUAAAUGAGUGUUUGAUUUGUAUAAUUAAAAUUAAAAAUAAACCAUGGAAGUCGUGAAUAGUAUUCAUCCUUUCACAAUCUUCAUCGAUAUUAAACACCCCCGUUCCAUGUGACUUCAAGGACGCUCUCUCCUUCUGCAACGCCCCUUUCGCUGCCCUUGAUCAACUUGAUGGAUUACGCUCGCUCUACCUUUGACUUCGCCACAUUGAGAGGCCCUUGGGUUUGAGUUCUCCGCUGGUCUAGCCAUCUUUACUUCGAAUGCCUUUUCCUGCGAUGAAUCCAUCCCCUUCGACGAGUGCGAAUACUGCGUUGAUUCCCUGUUACCGUGCCCCGACUUGUUCAGUCGCUUCAACAGCUUCCCCCGAGACAGCGUGCGGAUCCGGUUUAUGAGUGGUAGCACCAUCGGUGCUACUCGCUCCGAGUGACGUGGUUGAAGAGCUCUAUCACCUUGGCUGCCGCCUCUUUCGGAUCAUCUUCUUCACAGAGAAGAUGUCCAGCUUUGAUCGGGAUCACAAAGUUCCCUACUAAAAUGGAGUUAAGUGACAUAAGAAAGAGGCAGGGCUGACGAGCUCCGACGCCACUUUUCCGAGGCAGCCAAAGGUGGUAAGCAGCUUGUCACUGGUAGGAGGAACGGUGGCCCUUAGACUUUGCUCAGGUCGUUGUGGCGAGGGCUUCUCUAGGUAUCUUCGCGAUACUCAUGCUCUAAGUUUGUGGUGGUCAUUUUAGUGAGAGAAAUUGAAACAAGAGAGAUGAUGCGGCACCGGUCAAAAGUGAGGAUAAGCCAUCAACAAGCGCAGGAGUGGGGGAAAAACUUGUAUCCCUUAUUUUUUUCAAUUUUCCAAAUUUCACAUAUCCUAUUUGGAUCUAUAUCACUUUCUAGAUGAGAUUUUUUAUCCGGACUAUAUCCAAAUUUCACGUUACUCUAAACACCGGAUAUGAUCAAACUUAUCAUAUCAGAGUUUUAUUCGGCCCAUCAAAGACAGACUUAUGAGAUAGAAUGCAAUGAUAUAAUCUAUGAAUUAGAUUAAACAUUUAUUAAAAGUUUAAGAAUAAUAUUUCACAUUUUGAUUGUUAGGAUGCACGAGUGAGUUAUGUUAAAACAAUCCCACAAUAUAUUGAUAGCUUUGUAAUAAGGCUUUCUCUUGGUGAUGACAUAGAUCCAUAUGGAGAAAUUAAUGGGAGGGUUUAUUUGGCCUAACUAAAUGGGAGGCUAUAUCAAUCGGAGCUUUUUCAUUGUAACAUUCCCUUGUGCUUGGUAUUUGUAUUUUAGUAAAAGGAUUUUGCUAGCAUAAUAAUCUUUGGGUUAUCAUGAGAAUAACAAUUUAUUAUGAUUUACAAAAUUUUAAAAUAGUAAACCUCAAUUCAAUUUUAAACUUUUUUUUUUCUAACUAAUUCAAUCCUAAAUAUUUUGCAUUUGUGACAAUUUAGUCUAUUCGGCCAUUUUUCGCCAAGAGGCAUUGAUGUGAACUUUGGCUGAUCGACCAAUGCUGACAUGGACAAUUUUUUUAAUAAUAUUUUAUUUUUCUUAUUUUUUAUUAAUUUUUUCUUUCUUUUUUUCUUCACUUCCUUCUCCUUCCUCCAGCCAGUCGGCAAGAGGCAAGGUUGGUGAGGGACCUUGCUGGCCUUGAGGAAGCUUGGCCAUGGUUGGGCAACCUUGCUCGUGGCUAGGCGACCUCGCCGAGGCCGCCGAUUGGGCUGGCGAGGGUUGACCCUCGUUGGCCAUAGGUCAGGACAAAGGCUGCUAGUUGGGCUUGCCCUUAUUGAAUCUGGUGAGGGUUGAGUCUCAUUGGCCAUGGGCAAGGUCAAAGGCCGCGACCUCUCGUGGUCUCUGGCGAGGCUUGCCAAAGGUUGAGCAAGGCUUACCCUCAUUGGACUGACGAGGGUUGAGCCUCGUCAGCCAAGAGCGAGAUCGUAACUUGCCCAUGGCCGGUGAGGCUCGCCUAGGCCAAAGACAGGCGGGGCCUUGCCUAACCAUGGCAAGGGUGGCCUCACCAUUGUUGGGUGAGGCUAGCCCUUGCCAGUGGCGUGUGGGGGUAAGCCUUGCCAUUGGUUGGCAAGGCUGACUUCACUGGCUUGAAUAAAAUAAAAUAUUAUUAAAAGAUUAUUCACAUCAAUAUUAGCCGAACGAGUGGUGCUCGUCGGCCAAAAUUGGCCGGAUGAAUUGAAUUAGUAUAAUUGCAAAAUGUUUAGGACUGAAUUGGCUAGAAAAAAAAAAGAUUUUAAGACUAAAUUAGAAAAAUUGCAAUAAGUUUAUGAUUGUUUUGGUAAUUUUUUCGUAUAAUAACCCUAGUAAAGAUGACUCACUUAAUUUGAGCGUCAAUAAAUCAAAGGUCACUUGUUUAGUUCUCACAACUUAUUUGUAAAUCACUUUAGAAGUGCAAAUCCAAUCAAUUUAUGAGCUUGCAAAAUGAGUCUCUAGAUAAACCAACUUUUGUAUUCGUGCUUCAGGAUUAUAAUAAAAUAUUAGAGGUUUUCAUCAGUGUAUCAUGAUAGGCUAGAUAGGGCGUUUUCUUUUGCACUUGUCAUACAUGAUCAUUUUGUAUCCUUUGAACUCAUGUUAUUUGUUGGUACUAGGUUGAGUGGUAAUAUGAUCUCCUACCUUAUACUUAGAUAUUUCAUUUAUUAGGCUUCGCCUCACUCCUUUUUUUCUUUUUUUUUCUUUUUUGUUGUAGGAUGAUUCCCCUAAAGAUGGUGACGGAGGGGCCGAGUUGAUAUCGGAAGCCAUUAAUCCUUGAGUUGGAUGGUAGUUUAGUUAGUAUGGAUGUAAUGGUAUUAGGUGACCCCGAUCUUUCCUAGGACUAUAAAAUUUUUUGUGAUAAUUACUAUCGAUAUUGUAUAAAGCCAAAGACACUUUUUUUUUUAAUAAACUCAUGCAUUUUUCUAGUAAAGGAUGUUGUGAAAACUUUAUUGUCUUUUCCAUGCGUAAUUAUAACUAUGAGUAUAAAUGGAAAUGACAUGUGCCGCAUGUGAUGUUCCAAGGCGUCACAUAAUCCCCAACACUCAAAUUAGGGUCCAUUAAGGCAGUGCUUAAAACUAUGAUGCUCAAGUUCUAUUCGGCAGCACUUAGGCUCGGGUCCAACAAGAUCGUGUGUCAGUCCUCAAUGCUCGGGCUCGGCUCGUUAGUUAAUAAAAUGUUGUUCUUAUAAAAAUAAUUCUUUUUAUUUUCAUUUUAUAUUCAUUUGUUUUCUUUCUUUUUCUUUCUCCUUCUUCUUGGCUGGUUGCCGACCAUGAUGACGAUUGCGCCUGAGAACAAGCGAGAGAUGAGCUAGCCCAAGGCCAAGAAGACUUGAGAUUGCUGAUUUGGCAAGCUUGAAGUUGGUUGAUCAAGUGACGCUAAAGCUCCCUAGCGUUGGGCAACCUCGAGUUUCACCUCAUGGCUAGUCGCCAACUACCACCGUGGCGAGCGAUCGGUUGAGGAAGAAGAAAAAUAAAAAUAAAAUUAAAAGAGAAAAUAACUAAAAAUCUGAAUAUUUUGGCAUUUUCUAUAGGGAAAUCAAAUCGAAAAAAUAUUUUCUAGUUUAUCUUUAGGACUUAACCAAAUAUUGGAAAUAUUAUUCAGAUAUGUCAUAUUUUUUGCGAAACAAACGGUGCGUAAAUAUUUAGAUUUGAUAAUUGUCCAUGUUAAUUAGGUACACAUUAUCUCACUCUUUGUUUCGUUGCCGAACUGAUGCUAAUCUCUAGACGAAGCUUGACUAGUCUCAACUCAAUAGGCGGCUUGACUUUUGCGCUUCCUUUUCUUCUUUUCUUUUUUCUUUUUAACUCAAAACACUCAAAACUUUCCUGGUACACGACUGUCGUCGUGUUACAAUCACUUUCAAUAAUGAUGGCCAUCCGAGCAAGAUGAGGGCGACUGGUCCCCCUAGAAAUUGUCAUGACGUUUGACUUUCAUGAAUUGAAAUGACUUUUCUCUGUCAAGGAGAAAAAUAGUUAACUAGUCAAGAUCGUGCCACAUCUCUCCAUCCAUGUCCUCCACAUCCGGCCCCACCAAUCGGACUCCCCGACAAAAAAAAUCGAGGACACGUGGCUGGAUCUAGAAAGUCACAGGUUCGACUUGUCUACUGUUAUCACUGUCCUUUUGCAAUAAUUUUUUUACACCCGUCUAGCUGUUGUGAGCUCCUCUGACAUACUAAUUGUGUGGAUAUGGUGAACUUGGGACCUUCUAUAAUCUGUCCAUAUUAAAAAUUUAAAAUGGACAAAUUCCGCCUCUCAUUGUGGAAUUCCACCCACAUUUCUCGCAAACUUUCAAACAUUAGUUCCAGGUCGUGCAUUCCAAUUGAGCCUUGUCUGGUCAAAUAUCAAAGUACUCUAGAGAAAAAUUUUAAAAAAAAUUGUAAAAAAGAGAGAGAAGGAAAACGAUUCAGCCUUAUAAUAACUUGCUAGGAACCACGUAGUUAAUUAGAGCAUCAAGAAAUUAGAGGUAGCUUGUGUAGUUCUCGCAAGUUACUUGUAAAUUGCUUUAGAAGUACAAACUUAAUUGAUUUAUGAGCUUGCACCAUAUUUUAUGAGUUUCUGAAUAACCAACUUUUGUAUUCAUGCAACUCACUCCGCUGUGACUGAGUUGGUUCGGACGUUCCCUCCUCUUCCAAUUGGGGGGAGGUUUGAGUCACCACGAUUGCAUUUGCGCAACUUAAGUGCGGCGCCAUGAGAGGUGGGUCCCCGUGCUAGCGUCACCGUGGGUUUACGUCGCCAGCUGCCGGUUGUACGGCGAUUCUCAAGUCAUAAAAAAAAAAGAAAAAAGAAAAUUUGUAUUCAUGCUUGUAGAUUAUAAUAAAAUAAUUGGUUGUGGUGGGCAAUUGAGAGUGACACCGUUUUCGCCUUUUAUUUUUUGUAAUAUGUGAAGUGUUGUUCUGUUUUUUGUUUUCGUCACCCUCCCACUUGUGCUAUAUUUGUUAGGUCUCCUCGCCAGGAGUUCGUCACUUUAUGUUAUUGACCUCUUAAUUAAAUACAACAAUACCUUCAAGGACUGCUCUUCAUAAAGGCGCGGAUUGGACGGCCGGUGACCGAGAUAGCAGCCUCCGCCCCUCCCUCGGUCUUGCCCUUUGCAUAACUUUUAGAAAACAUGCGUGAUUAGAGGAUCAAUAGUGACUUAAUUCUAACCCGUAUCGAUGUUACCCGUUUAGCAUCUCUUAGUAAAUGUAAAUAUUGUACGCGGAUGACAGCAUUUUGAAGAAUUUACAAUUGGUGUUCUUUUAUUAAAUAUGGUUGAUAUCAUGAAAAAUCUUAGAUUGAUACAUUUGCGACAAACUUAUCCCAAACUAUUUUUUUUACACAAAAACCGUAAACUAGUAUAUUUGUAAUUUUACCUAAAACUAUUUUUUUUUAUCGUCAAAAACCUCAAACUGAUAUAUUUGUAGCAAAAUUACUCUUUACUAACUAGUGUUAAAUUAUACUAAUAUGAAUUGGUACAUCUAUGACAAACGAAGGGUAAAAUCCUAAAUUGGUACACUCAUUAACUAUCAUAUGUCAUUUAACUCAGUAAUUUAAUAGUACAAUUUAAGGGAAAUUAACGGAGGGUCAAUUUGUCAUAGGUGUAUCGGUAUGAGAUUUUUGAUAGCAAAUGUAGGAGUUUUACAUGGUAUUAAACUCUAUUGCAUAUGAUCAAAAGUCCUAGUUUCUACUAUUUUUGUCGACACAAUACCUUAAAAAACCUCAAACUUAAGCUCUGAUCCUAAUUCUAUCUUUUGUGUUAUAAGACCUCCAACUUUAGAUCAUGUCCCAAUUCCACCCUAACAUACAUAUUUUAGAAAACCCCAUAUUUUAGUUAUAGUCCCAAUCUUAUCUAAACAUCUGUUAUCUCAUAAAAUCCCUCAAAUUUAGGUCAAGUACCAAUUCCAACCUAAACGUUAUUUUGUCUUAUAAAAAGAAUCCUAGCUUUAGGUCCAAUUUCAUUUUCACUUUUUUUUUUUAUCUCAUAAAAGAUUACCAACUUUUACUUGAGUCCCAAAUCCACUCUCCAUUAACCCUCCAUCAAAAUUGCCCUUAGUGAUUUUGUGCUCGGUUUUUGAUCUCGCGUGCUUGGAAAUAUUUCAUUUCUCUUGAACAACUUGUGCUUGAGGGUUUUCCAUCUCUCGAUGUCAGCAGGAAAUUUUGCACGAAGGGUUAAUGGUGGCAAAUAUGCGACUCAAGUAAAAAUUUAUAGUUUUUUCAUCAGACUAUAAAAAUUUUACGGUAAUAUUGAGAGUGGAUAGGCUUUUCAUAAGACAAGAAAAGGUUUAAGGUAGAAUUAGUAUAUUAUUUAAAAUUGAAUUGUGAAUGGCUAUAAAAUUAGUGAUUUUUUUUAUGAGAUAAAAGGUAAAAUUAGGAGAAAAGCUAAAGUUAGAGAGUUUUUUUUAGGGUAUCAAACCUAUUUUUGUCAAUCAUAUGAUGUCAACAUUAUCUUUGUUUUUGUUUUUCUUUCAAUUGUCCAUUUGGUCGGUUCUUUUCUAUUCUUAUUCUCAAACUUUUGCCUUGACUCAUUACAAGUGUGAGAAUUGAAACCACAUUUGAUACUAUAUUGUCCCCCGGUAGGCAUUCAAAACCCCCAUCUCCCGCUUCUCAUGUAAGUUAUGAAUGGAGCCUUCGUGUCGUGUCCGACACGCUCGAAGAUGCGGUCAAUACGUGUUCGAAAUCCGACACGUGAACAAUUCUUAUUGACACAUUCUAACACACAAGUCCGAGAGAGAGGAUCGUUGAAGAAAACAAUGGCAAGGGAGCGAAGGCAACGGCAAGGCCACGACGGUGAGAGAGGGCUAGAGGAAGAGUAGAGACCGAGAUGACCUAAAGAGAGGAUCGUGACUGCAAUGGAGGGCCGGUGGCGAGACUGCACCUAUGUAGGAGGAAGGGUUGGAGGUGAGGCGGCAAGCGAUUAUGACAAGGCAAUCAAGAGAGAGAAGAGAUUGAGAGGUGGAUGGUCGUGCGAGGAGGAGGGGAAGGCCAGGGCUAGGGUUUUUGAAGGGGGAAAAUCAAAAAAUUAAAAACAUGAUUUUGAUGGGACAUUAGGGUUGUGCAAGGAGGAGGGGAAGGCCAGGGCUAGGGUUUUUGAAGGGGAAAACUCAAAAAAAUUAAAAACAUGAUUUUGAUGGGACAUUGCUGUGAUUUCUCCUUUAUGGAGAGGGGGAGCGUGUCGGGAGGUGGAGGGGGAGGGCAGAUAAAUGAGGGAAAGAUGAGUGAAAUAAGUUUGUUGGGGGCACAAAAGGAGGGGUUGGUAGGACCUGAGCAAGUCCUUAGACUGCUCCGUCUGGUCGGAAAUAGCCCACGGACGUAAAAUGUGGGCAAUGUUAAUCGUGGGAGAUCAGACCACCCUGUGUAAGGAUCUCCUGGCUCAGAUUCCCGCGAUGCCUUUCUCCUAACAUAUUAGGCUGGGUACAGGAAAAUGAUGAGUGAAAUAAGUUUGUUGGGGGGGGGGGGCACAAAAGGAGGGGUUGGUAAGGGUUGGCAUGGACCCCAUGGAUUUUUAUUUUUUUUUAAUCAAAAAAAUAAAUAAGGAAGGCCAGAAAGUGGGGGAAGAAACUAUGGAAAGAGAGUGAAGUAAAUGUGGGGGUGAGGGUUGGGGUGGACCACGGGGGUCUUUUCUUAUCAGAAAAAUAAAUAAGAAAAACUAUAAGGUGAUUUCGGAAAAUGAAAGUGUUGAAUGUUGAAUAAUAAUAAAAUUUGAUAAUUGUAAAAGAUUAUAGAUUUAUUUAAAUAAGUUAAUUCUAAUUUUUCUUAAUCAUUAGUUUUAUCAAUAAUUUUUGUUAGAGUUAGAAAUAUGUUCGUAUGGAUGCUAUAUGGCAUAUGGAAAGGGUGGCCUCACUUCUGGCGUUUCAUGUAUGGAAAGAGUGAUUAUUAAUGGCGCAUUUGGUAACGUUUUUGUUUCGGAGGACAAUUUUUGAAUAGAAAUAGUUUUUUUUUUUGUUCUAGGGAAUAAUUUUUGAGUAUAAGAAUGUGUUUGGUAACUGCAAACAAUUUCUACUCUAAAAAUAGAAACGCGCUUGGUAAACUUGUAUAAUUUCUUUGUUUCUUUUAAUUUUUUAAUAUUUUUAAUAUUUUUUUUCUUUUUUUCUUUUUUCUUUUUCUCUUUGGUCGGUUGCUGGCUAUGGCGAUGUCCGUUGAGCCUUGUCCAGGCAACGCGAGGUUCGCCUCGUGCCGAUUGGGGAGGUCAAGGCCUCUUGGCUUUGUCUGGGCUAAGCGAGGUUGACCUUGCCCAGCCACCGGCGAGACUCGGCCUCGCUGGGCCACCGCUAGGCGACUCUGUCCUGGAGGUGGCUCGGCGAGGUCGAGCCUCAUGCGGCCAUGGCGAGGCUCGGCCUCUCUGGGGGCUAGCGACACUCCGGCGAGGUCGUCGGCUCUCGUCUAGCCAGUUGCCGGUGUCAACUAUGGCUAAGGCUGAUGACNNNNNNNNNNNNNNNNNNNNNNNNNNNNNNNNNNNNNNNNNNNNNNNNNNNNNNNNNNNNNNNNNNNNNNNNNNNNNNNNNNNNNNNNNNNNNNNNNNNNCGUCUGGUCGAAAACAGCCCAUGGACGUAAAAUGUGGGCAAUGUUAAUCGCGGGAGAUCGGACCACCCUGUGUAAGGAUCUCUCGGUUCAGAUUCCCGCGAUGCCCUUCUCCUAACGUAUUAGACUGGGUACAGGAAAAUGACGAGUGAAAUAAGUUUGCUGGGGGCACAAAAGGAGGGGUUGGUAAGGGUUGGCAUGGACCCCAUGGACUUUUAUUUUUUUAUCAGAAAAAUAAAUAAGGAAGGCUAGAAAGUGGGGGAAGAAACUAUGGAAAGAGAGUGAAGUAAAUGUGGGGGUGAGGGUUGGGGUGGACCACGGGGGUCUUUUCUUAUCAGAAAAAUAAAUAAGAAAAACUAUAAGGUGAUUUCGGAAAAUGAAAGUGUUGAAUGUUGAAUAAUAAUAAAAUUUGAUAAUUGUAAAAGAUUAUAGAUUUAUUUAAAUAAGUUAAUUCUAAUUUUUCUUAAUCAUUAGUUUUAUCAAUAAUUUUUGUUAGAGUUAGAAAUAUGUUCGUAUGGAUGCUAUAUGGCAUAUGGAAAGGGUGGCCUCACUUCUGGCGUUUCAUGUAUGGAAAGAGUGAUUAUUAAUGGCGCAUUUGGUAACGUUUUUGUUUCGGAGGACAAUUUUUGAAUAGAAAUAGUUUUUUUUUUUGUUCUAGGGAAUAAUUUUUGAGUAUAAGAAUGUGUUUGGUAACUGCAAACAAUUUCUACUCUAAAAAUAGAAACGCGCUUGGUAAACUUGUAUAAUUUCUUUGUUUCUUUUAAUUUUUUAAUAUUUUUAAUAUUUUUUUUCUUUUUUUCUUUUUUCUUUUUCUCUUUGGUCGGUUGCUGGCUAUGGCGAUGUCCGUUGAGCCUUGUCCAGGCAACGCGAGGUUCGCCUCGUGCCGAUUGGGGAGGUCAAGGCCUCUUGGCUUUGUCUGGGCUAAGCGAGGUUGACCUUGCCCAGCCACCGGCGAGACUCGGCCUCGCUGGGCCACCGCUAGGCGACUCUGUCCUGGAGGUGGCUCGGCGAGGUCGAGCCUCAUGCGGCCAUGGCGAGGCUCGGCCUCUCUGGGGGCUAGCGACACUCCGGCGAGGUCGUCGGCUCUCGUCUAGCCAGUUGCCGGUGUCAACUAUGGCUAAGGCUGAUGACUGGCAAAAGGAAGAAGAAGAAGAAGAAGAAGAAGAAAAGAAAGAGAAAAUAGAAGAAGAAAAAUGAUAAGAAAAAAAAGUGUUUUUCGAAAGUGUUCUCGAGAAUAAGAAAUAAGUUUUUUUUUUUAAUUUCUUAUUUUUGUUCCAAAGUUGCUCUCACAAUAAAAAAAAAAGACCAGAAUAAAAGUAUAAACAAAUGAGUUUCUAUUCUUUUUUGGUUCUCUGGAACAAAAUAAUAAAAAUUUAUAUUCCAGGAAAAAAAAAUAAUUUUAAACGAACACACCCUAAGAUAUCUUUUGUAUUCCGGGGAAGUAGUUCAAUUGACGUGAGCCCGUGCGUCUUCCCUACAUGGGAAGGGUCGUCACUGGGUCUCAUCUGACCUAAGCAAGUGCGUCUUCACAGCUUUUACCGCUCCCCUCCUACACUUCGUAGCUACCGCCACUCCCCUCCUAUAAAUCUCGGCUCGCCCGACGCCUUCGCCAUCGUCUCGGUGCAGUGCAGGGAACGAGCGAGCUCGAGCUAGACGACGGCAAUGGCGGCUUCGACGACGACGGUGAGGAGGAUCAAGCUGGGGUCGCAGGGCCUCGAGGUGUCGGUGCAGGGGCUGGGCUGCAUGGGCAUGUCCGCCUUCUACGGCCCUCCCAAGUCCGACACCGACAUGAUCGCCCUGAUCCACCACGCCGUUGGCUCCGGCGUCACCUUCCUCGACACCUCCGACAUCUACGGCCCCCACACCAACGAAACCCUCCUCGGAAAGGUCGGUUCUCUCUCAGUCUCUGUUUUGCCUCCGCAUGAAUUAUAUGUGCUUAUAGUGUUACGGAAUUUAGCUUCAUCGAGCAGAGUGCUCUGAUCCUGCGCCUUGGUUUUCUGAUUUCGGGGUUGAUUUUGAGCAGGCACUGAAGGGAGGGGUGAGGCAGAAGGUGGAAUUGGCGACCAAGUUCGGAAUCAGCUUCGCGGACGGGAAGAGGGAGGUCCGGGGCGAUCCGGCGUACGUGAGGGCGGCUUGCGAGGCCAGCUUGAAGCGGCUUGACAUCGAUUGCAUCGACCUCUACUACCAACAUCGCAUCGACACUCGCGUCCCCAUCGAAGUCACUGUAUGGAUCCCCCAUCAAACUUUCACCUCGCUUGAGACUUUCUCCGAGCCAUAUGAUUAGUUGCUAAGUUAGAUUGGUGUUGAUGAUGCAUCGUCAUGUUGUUACAAGUUUGUUGAAAUUUGUUAAAUGACACUUAAGUUCGGCUGAUAGCAGAGUUCAAGAUGCGGCACGUUGUUGUUCAAGGGGUUGUGGAAUUUAGUAGUUUAGUGGCUUGAGUUUUCGUUUUGUGGGCAUCUUUUACAAGUUAAGGGUCAACAAGCAUGAAAAUUAUUCAAAAUCUUCCUUUGAGAUGAAAGUGCUCCAGGGUUCAUCCAGAAUUUAUAUACGGGAAUCACAUAUAAAGUUGUUCCUGGACUUUAUGUGGAGACAUUUGAUUCUUGACAUAUUGUGAAAUAUGACAAGUACUUGGAAUACUUCUUUUAUUUGCUCUCUUCUGUGAGAGAUUCAAGAAAUCAACCUCCGUUAACUCAAUACCUUGUGACUUUUUUGUCGCAUUGAGAUGCAUGAUAAUAGAGGGAUCUAGACGCAUAAAAAGCUAAUGACAUGCAUAAUUUUCUGGAUCUUAACAUGUAAGAUCUUGAUGUUGUUGUUCUGUCAUGUGAAUAUGCACAGAUCGGAGAGCUAAAGAAGCUCGUUGAAGAAGGUAAGAUAAAGUACAUCGGUUUAUCCGAGGCCUCUGCAUCAACAAUCAGAAGAGCACAUGCUGUUCAUCCCAUCACAGCAGUGCAAUUGGAGUGGUCGCUUUGGUCAAGAGAUGUGGAGGCAGAGAUCGUUCCAACGUGCAGGUAGGAUAUCACUCUGUUAAUUGUUUAUGCAGCAACAACAGCUUCCUUCUGACUCUGCUUUUCCUUUAAAAUGCUGACUAGGGAGCUUGGCAUUGGAAUUGUUGCCUACAGUCCUUUAGGACGAGGAUUCUUUUCUGUUGGCUCCAAGUUGGUGGAGAAUAUCUCUAAGGAUGACUUCAGACAGGUCUGUUCCUGCUUGUCAACAUAAUUAGAUGUUUACAUUGACUGUCAUUCUUAUUGAAGUGCUGGAAACCUGUUCUUGUGGUAUAAAGAAAAAGUAUCUGGAUGGGAUGAAUAAAACUUGGUGACACGAAUGCUUCGUGUUCUUAUAUGUCUUUAAUCCAGCACUUGCCAGACAUCCCACCUCUCUUGAUUCUAGAUAAAUGUAAAAUCACAAGUAACGGCUUUAAUGAGCCUGAAAGAGGCAGUUUCCUGGAUUCUCGUGCUUUUGGGAAUGAAUACAUAUAGGUUUAUAUGUAAGUUGCUCUGUUUCCCAGCCUUCCCAACAUUUGCUUAUCACUAUCCUUUCCCCACUUUCCACCCACCCUUUUUCUCUCAUCUUUCUUCACAAGAAUAGCGAUAUUUCCUCGAAAUAACUGACGCCAGUAUCGGGCUUUGGCCCUCCGUCCUUUUUCAUUCUCAUCUUUCUUCACAAGAUAAACUAUAUCUUGACACAACCAUUUCUUGAGCGCGGACUCCCGACACCCUUCUUAUGAGAGUUUUGGAUCAAGUUCCCAUCUGACAUAAAGCCAAUUGUGUAUUACUCCCCGCCAUUAGCGUUUGACUAGCGAUAGUGCUGGGCAAGUGAAGUAGCUAUUUUUCUUUGUAGCUAAAAGAGCUCUGCGUCUGAUAACAUUCUUCUACUCAUCAUCUACAUUUCUGAUUUUUUAUUUUAUGUGACUAAUGGUAUCAUCACACGUACAAAACUUAGAUUGUCGAGUUUGUUUCUGUUUUCACAUCCUACAUCAAGCCCAUCAGCCUUGUGUGGUAGUUGCUAGAUCACUUCGCUUGACGUUUCUAAUGCUUAUGAUUUGGGACAUGAUAUUUUAAUCAUUUCAAGAUAAUUUAUAACUGAUCAUGCUUUUUCAGAUACACAACGAUUGCACACUUCUAAAUGCUUAUUAUGUCAAGUAACAAGACAAUCCGAUGGCAUGCAAUGCAACCACUUUUGCACUUGUUGCUGUAGAAUUUAGCCUUAAGAGGAAAAUGAUAAUUUCUCAUAUGCUCUCUGCUGAGACAUUGCUCUAUGUUAUGCAGUAUCUACCAAGGUUCCGGCCAGAGAACUUGGCUCACAACACGAAGUUAUUUGACCGAGUGAAUGAAAUUGCGCAAAGAAAGGGAUGCACCACAUCGCAGUUAGCCCUGGCCUGGGUACACCACCAGGGUGACGACAUUUGCCCGAUUCCCGGCACAACCAAGAUCGAGAAUUUCAACCAGAACAUUGGAGCUCUGUCAGUGAAGCUUACACCGGAAGAGAUGGCCGAGCUUGAAUCGAUUGCUUCUGCGGACAAUGUCAAGGGUGGCAGGUACGAUGGAAGCAUGUCUACAUGGGAAAACUCCGACACUCCACCCCUUUCUUCUUGGAAACCUGCCUAGAAGCGUGUCUGCUUCUGUUGCUGCAUCUUUGAUGUGCAGAGGUUGAGCAUUUGCCGCUGAAGUAAUUUGAGUUUAUGUUGUGUGGCUGUUAUAAGUAUGUGUAAUAAGAGAGUGACUGUUUUCAUUUUGUACAUGUGACAUUCACUAUGAUAAGAUUAUGGAUGUGUACUAACCUUACUGGGGAAAGAUCACUCGAUAAACACGAGAGCGAGUUGAAUACGAACUGAGCCUGCCGUGUCGACUUUAUUGGGGUGACUUUUAGAAUCUGAGAAAUCGGGAUUUUGAAGAAUUCAAACUCAGUCGUACAUACUAGAGUGGUAUUCUCCACCAACCAUGAGUUCAAUCUCUUAAGACUGGAUGCUGCACAUAGAUGCAAAGCUUCGCUUUGUGUUUG